CUGCGUCUGGGAGGCGCGCCGCCUCAUUCUCCUUUAUAUUGCUGCUGACAUGCUGAGGUUGCAUUACGUCACGCUACCCUUGCUGCAGGGUAGGGGGCCAAAGGGGGGUCUCGCGCACGCGCGCGCGCGGGAGAUCGAGGCGCCCGCGCUAGGUUAGUGCGAGACCCCGCCGGCUUGAGGCGGGGGCUGAGCGCCGGCCAAGUCCAAGUGCGCAAGCCCAGAUCUCGGCGCGCCCCUGAGGAGUUUCUGUGGGAAGAUUUUCUGUUUUCCAGGUUUCCCAAGGGAAACGAAGAAAGGGAGGAGGAUAAUCAAUGACUGAACCUCUAAUAGAUGUUGGACGACGUUAAAAAAAAAAUGUAUCGGCCCUACCCUCGAGGAUUUGACAAAUUAGACUGACCAGAGUAAUAAGAGAUACAGGCAGAAGAGGAGACAUAGACACACACAGAGGAGAAGAUGAUGUGAAAAGGGAGGCAGAGAUCACAGUGGUGUGGCUACAAGCCAAGAAAUACCGAAGCCAUCAGAAGUUGGAAGAGAGAACCGAGGAAGUGGAGAUACAGUUCUUCUGGGAAGGGCCCUCUGAAGGGAUGAGCUCCAGAGAUUCUGCACAUUGAUUUUUUGAGGGAAGAGAAGAAAUGGUUAGCCAUGAUUUUAGGGAAGUUUGAAAUAUAAUAUAUAAUAGCUCACAUUAAUUCUACAUUCUAAUCUUUAAAUAUCAAGAUAGCUCCAGGACUAAUCUUUGGAAAUGACAAAUAAAGGUAAUUGCUAAAGGGAAA
rnacentral:lncRNA from 10 species